CGUGAAGUUGGAAUUGCCAGUAAUCGCGGAUCAGCAUGCCGCGGGUGAAUACGUUCCCGGGCCUUGUACACACCGCCCGUCACACCAUGGGAGCCGGUAAUACCCGAAGUCAGUAGCCUAACCGCAAGGGGGGCGCUGCCGAAGGUAGGAUUGGCGACUGGGGUGAAGUCGUAACAAGGUAGC
rnacentral:rRNA from 1 species